AGACUGUCAGUGCUAAAUCCGAGUUGACAAGAGCAGCUGAGUCACAGGAAACAGCUUCUCCAAUAUUUAAGUUACAUGGUGCUAUUGCUUUCCUACGUGUAAGUAACUGUAUAAGUGCAAGGCAAUGGACAUCCUCUUGGACCCAAGACCUGGAGUUGCCUUUGACUAGCUAGUUGUCGAGAUACAGCUAGAUCUGGAUACCCCGACGCCUGAGGGCCUAGAGGAAGGGGAAGGGGAGGUCCUGCAUCGAUUGCUGAGCCUCCGUUGACAGACCCAAGAGAAGCAGUCAAGACGCCCUUCGCAUGGAGAUGGCCACGGCCAUGGUGCGAGCCGGAGAGUCUGCUGCAUCUGAGGCUGCUUGAAGGGUCGCUCUUGCUGCAGCCGUGCCCUCUUCGAGGAUCGCCCAGAAUUCCUUCCUGGACGUUUCGGGCUGCGAGACCUUGAAUUUGGCCAUAGAUUGCCACAUAUUGUAGUCAUAGCGGCGAAGGAGGGUUUGGUGGUUGGCCACUCUCUACUUACGGCUGGAAGAUGAAUAAAUAU